AGUGAUUGACUUUCCAUAACAAAAUUGUUUUGUCAUGAUUGAACCAGAGUUGGAUUCUUGUGAUAUUAAAUACUAGCAAAACUGGGCCUUUGCGGUUAAUCCUCGAUCCAAGUUUAUCAUAGUUUAGAUGGUCAUGUCAUGAUUGUUAUGGAUGAAAAAAUGCUGUCUAAAAAGAGAGUAAAUUUGUAAAAGGCUUUACAUUGGCUUUACUACUAUUGGUUGUAAAGCCAACUUAGCUAAUUGGAAUUUAGAGACGCCUUUGCAGUAUUAACUACUAUACAUCAAAUUUGAUUCGUAUUUUUCAUUUCCAAUUACAG
rnacentral:misc_RNA from 1 species